CAGCCAGGUUAGAAUGUGCUUUCUCUAAUCAGAACAGAACCAUCAUGGUUAACAGAGCAUGAUUAAUGUUUGUUAUAAUUGUAGCUGAUCCCCAAUAUAUUCUAUGUCUGCCCCUAACAGUAUGCUAAAUGAAUAGUAGAGCUAUGUGCUGUGGCUAAUUGAAAGCAUAGUACAGCUUAUAGAAAUGUGGAGGGGUGUCUCCAUGGAAGCUGGAUAACUGGCCACAUGGUGACUUUUAGUAAUAAGUUGGAGUGCUGCAGAUUCAAAAGGAUUAUUUUGUCAGUGACCUAGAGUUGAAUACAUUCUUACCCUAUAUAUCUAUAACAAAGAUUUUCCUUUAAUGAUUGCAACAUAUUAAGAUAUGAACUGUUAGUUCCAGGGUCCCACAUGGUGGAUUUGCUAAUAUCAUGGGUGGAAGUGGAUUGCAAAACUUUACAAUUGCUGCUGUGCCAUAUACUCCAAAUCUUCUACCGACUUCAAGCACAUGCAUCAACAUGCUCAAGUUACCUGAAUACCCAAGUAAAGAAAUACUCAAGGACAGACUUCUUGUGGCACUGCAUUGUGGCAGCUAUGGCUACACAAUGGCAUAGUGGAGUCCGGAAAGCUCAUCUGACUGCUGAUGCACAGUCCGAGUGGCAGAAGUAAUUUAGGAAAUGUCAACAGAAAAGCAGCCUCAAGGCAGUUCAUGGGCAGGGCUGUUUAAAAUUCAUCAAGGAUCAGGUUUUCUCCCCUGCCCCUUUUCCCUUUUAUGUUUUCUCAGUUUGUGAUACACUUAGAAAAUAGAAAAUCACAGUAGCCUUCAUUUUAAAGAAUGCUAACUGAAAGUAGUAGAAACUGUCCUUAUAUUUCUUUAAUCUUAUUCAAGAUUGUAUUAAGGCAAAAUCUUGUUCUACAUUCCACCUCUGCUAUGUAACUGUCUUGUUUAAAGGAUGUUUUCUCUUUACUUUUCUGUAUAUUAAAAUAUAGUAGGACAUCCAACCUGGUAUGUCCUAUCGCAUGUAAAGUGCCAUUUAUAUUUUGAAAAACUAUUGUAUAGAAUGGAUUAAUUAAAAUUGUGUAUAAAGCCACAAAUAUGUAUUUUCCCAUAUUGAAUCUAUAUUGCAAUGAUGUUUUCUAGCUUUUUAAUAUUUUACUAUGUAAUGUAAAAUUUAGACUGAUGUGACUAACAAACAGCUGAUGAAAUGAUAUCUAAUUUAUAUAUUAAAGUUUAUACUAUAUUGUAUGAA